AAACCUGAUGGCCACGUUGGCAGUACAAUGCCCUGAUGUGUGGUGAGAAGGGUGCUUUCCCUCUGUGGUCCUCAUCCCCAAAACAAACUACCCCAGUCAAAUCAUGAGAAAAUCAGACCAAUCCCAACUGAGGGCCAUUUUAUAGAGUACUGGACCCACAGAAAGUCUGAGAAACUUGUCACAGCCAACAGGAGCCGAAGAAUGCGUAAUAACACAAUGUGACGCGGUGCCCUGGAUUGGAUUCUGGAGCAAGAAAAGGGCAGCAGACACAAGUCCCACACUGCCGGGAGUCUUCCCUGAGCUACUGGAUCAGCACAGAAAACAAGCGGUGAGAUGUCCUCUCCAACAACAGAACACCCAGCCAGCUGCCCCUCCUGCUUUUUAGGAGAAGAGCCAAAAUAGCUUGAGUGAUCUGUGCCUCUGAGUCCAUCCAGGACCCACGGCGCACCAAAGCCACCUUGGGGCGCAACUCGGUACGGUGCCAGAAGCCAUGGGAGCCACCUCAUACUCUCAGGGUAAAGGCCAGGGAACGUGCGGGGGAGCCAGCCUACACUGCUGAGCCACAUCACGCUGCCACCUACUACCAGAUUUCUCAUCCUGUAAAAACAACCAACUCCUCGUGGUUUAGGCACUUUGUUGCUGCAUUUUGUUGCUUGUAGCCAAAAGCAUUCUUACCUGACCUGGCAAGUGACUCAAUCAGAGCCAGAGAGACACAAAAAGACUUUUGCUAGGAAAGCUGAGACAUCCUCUCAAUUUUCCCUCCUGGACAAGAUCGAGGAGGGAUGUAGCCCCGAGAGCUGCUGCAGGCACCUCAAAACCAUGAGUGUGAGCCUGAGGACAGGACAUCAGGACAGAGGGGGAGAUGUCAAUAACCAAUAAUGUCACUGAUCUCCCUGACCAGCCAUGCCAGAAGGGAGGUCUGUCCUCAACCUAACUUGAACCAGUAUCUUUUUGCUUAAGCCAGUUUGGUUUUCUGAUACUUGCAAUUCAAUGGGUCCUAGCUAAUAUGAAUAAGCUGUUAUUUCUUCAGUGGCCAGCCAACCAGCCCAAACUCUCCGUCCCUGUGUUUCCUGACAGUUCAGCCACUGUGACCAACAAGAAGAAAGAAGCUACAGCCAAGAAAAGUGGGCACCACUCACCUUCUUGUUUCUUCUGUUCAAGUUUCAUCUUCUUUGCCAGUAAUUUCUUCUCUUUUAACUUCUGGCUAAAAAUGUAAAACCAUAUACAUUGAUUCCUUAACUACAUUAUGGUAUAUUUUAGAAAAUAAACACCUCCUUAUGGUAUCUCUAAAACCUGCGGAAUAACACAAACAUUACAAUAACAAAAUAAGAAAAAUAUUAGGUGAGUGCAAAAGUAAUUGCCGUUUUUGCAUUGCUGGAAUUUGCUGUUUGAUACUGGAAUAUCUUCUUUUUUUUUUUUUUGAGACGGAUUCUCUCACUCUGUCACCCAGGCUGGAGUGCAGUGGCGCAAUCUCAGCUCACUGCAAGCUCUGCCUCCUGGGUUCACACCAUUCUCCUGCCUCGGCCUCCUGAGUAGCCUGGGACUACAGGCACCCGCCACCACGCCCAGCUAAUUUUUUGUAUUUUCAAUAGACAUGGGGUUUCUCUGUGUUAGCCAGGAUGGUCUCGAUCUCCUACCUCGUGAUCCACCUGCCUUGGCCUCCCAAAGUGCUGGGAUUACGGGUGUGAGCCACCACGCCCGGCCUAUAUAUUCUUAAAUAGAUGUGAUUAUGUUAUACAUCAUUUUAAUCGGCUUUUUUUUUUUUUUGCUAAUGACUUAUUACUUGUUUAUGUUUAGACUAUGAAAACGAUGCUAGACAAAAAGCCAAUUCAAGUGAUUUUCUUAUUCAAAUUCAAAAUGGGUCGUAAAGCAGUGGAGACAACUCACAACAUCAACAACGCAUUUGGCCCAGGAACUGCCAAUGAAUGUACAGUGCAGUGGUGGGGCAAGAAGUUUUGCAAAGGAGACAAGAGCCUUGAAGAUGAGCAUCGUGGCCAGCCAUCAGUCAUUGGACAAUGACAAAUUGAGAGCAAUCAUGGAAGCUGAUCCUCUUACAACUACAUGAGAAGGGGCCAAAGAACUCAGAAUCGACCAUUCUACAGUCAUUCAGCAUUUGAAGCAAACUGGAAAGGUGAGAAAGCUCGGUAAGUGGGUGCCUCAUGAGCUGAGCGAAAAUCAAAAAAAUCAUUAUUUUGAAGUGCCGUCUUCUCUUACUCUACGCAACAACAAUGAACCAUUUCUCGAUCAGAUUGUGACAUGUGAUGAAAAGUGGAUUUUACAUGACACCUGCGACAACCAGCUCAGUGGUUAGACCAAGAAGCCGCUCCAAAGCACUUCCCAAAGCCAAACUCGCACCAAAAAAGGUCAUGGUCACUGUUUGCUGGUCAGCUGCUGGACUGAUCCACUACAGCUUUCUGAAUCCCGGUGAAACCAGCACACUGGAGAAGUAUGUGCAGCAAAUCGAUGAGAUGCACUGAAAACUCCAAUGCCUGCAGCCAGCACUGAUCAACAGAAGGGGCCCAAUUCUUCCCCAGGACAAUGCCCGACCACGAGUCACACAACCAAUGCUUCAAAGGUUGAACAAAUUGGGCUGCGAUGUGUUGCCUCAUCCACCAUAUUCACCUGACUUCUUGCCAACCGACUACCACUUCUUCAAGCACUUUGACAACUUUUUGCAGGGAAAGCACUUCCACAACCAGCGGGAUGCAGAAAAUGCUUUCCAAGACUUCUUCAAAUCCCGGAGCAUGGAUUUUUACGUUAUAGAAAUAAACUUAUUUCUCAUUGGUGAAAAUGUGUUGAUUGUAAUGGUUCCUAUUCUGAUCAAUAAACAUGGUUUGAGCCUAGUUACAAUGAUCUAAAA